AGAGUUUGAUCCUGGCUCAGGACGAACGCUGGCGGCGUGUUUUAGGCAUGCAAGUCGAACGAGAACGAUUUCCUUCGGGAAGACUAGUAAAGUGGCGAAUGGGUGAGUAACGCGUAGAUAAUAUACCUCUAAGUGGGGGACAGCCCCGGGAAACUGGGAUUAAUACCGCAUGUGCCAGAGAUGGUAAAGGUGGCCUCUGCUUGCAAGCUAUCGCUUAGAGAUUAGUCUGCGUCCUAUUAGCUAGUUGGUGAGGUAACGGCUCACCAAGGCGAUGAUAGGUAGGCGGCCUUAACGGGUGGUCGCCCACACUGGGAUUGAGAUACGGCCCAGACUCCUACGGGAGGCAGCAGUCGAGAAUCGUCUACAAUGGGGGAAACCCUGAUAGUGCGACGCCGCGUGGAUGAUGAAGCAUUUCGAUGUGUAAAGUCCUUUUCUGUAUGAGCAAUGACAUUUAGGAUAAUAUUUUGAAUGUAGAGAUAUUAGUACAGGAAUAAGCCACGGCUAACUCCGUGCCAGCAGCCGCGGUAAUACGGGGGUGGCAAGCGUUGUCCGGAAUCACUAGGCGUAAAGGGCAAGUAGGCGGACUUGUAAGUUAGGUGUUAAAGGCGUCGGCUCAACCGGCGUAAGGCAUUUGAUACUGCAAGUCUAGAAUUAGGUAGGGGAAGACGGAAUUCCUGGUGUAGCGGUGGAAUGCGUAGAUAUCAGGAGGAACACCGGUGGCGAAGGCGGUCUUCUAUGCCAUAAUUGACGCUCAAUUGCGAAGGUGUGGGUAUCAAACAGGAUUAGAUACCCUGGUAGUCCACACAGUAAACGAUAGACACUAGGUGUUGGGAGAGUGAAUUUUUCAGUGCCGUAGUUAACGCGUUAAGUGUCUCGCCUGGGGAGUACGAUCGCAAGGUUUAAACUCAAAGGAAUUGACGGGGGCCCGCACAAGCGGUGGAGCAUGUGGUUUAAUUCGAUGCAACGCGAAGAACCUUACCUGGGCUUGACAUCCUAAGAAUGUUUCAGAGAUGAGACAGUGCCUUUCGGGGAACUUAGAGACAGGUGCUGCAUGGUUGUCGUCAGCUCGUGCCGUGAGGUGUUGGGUUAAGUCCCGCAACGAGCGCAACCCUUAUUUUUAGUUGCUACCAUUAAGUUGAGAACUCUAGAAAGACUGCCAGUGUAAUAAACUGGAGGAAGGUGGGGAUGACGUCAAAUCAUCAUGGUCCUUAUGUCCAGGGCUACACACGUGCUACAAUGGUUGGUACAGAUGGAAGCUAAGCCGCGAGGUGGUGCAAAUCCCAAAAAGCUAAUCACAGUUCGGAUUGGAGUCUGCAACUCGACUCCAUGAAGUUGGAAUCGCUAGUAAUCGCGUGUCAGCGUAACGCGGUGAAUACGUUCCCGGGCCUUGUACACACCGCCCGUCAAGUCAGCCGAGUUGAUUGCACCCGAAGAAGGUGGGCUAACCGUAAGGAGGCAGCUUUCGAAGGUGUGGUUAGCGAGGGGGACUAAGUCGUAACAAGGUA
rnacentral:rRNA from 1 species